UACGAAGGGGGCUAGCGUUGCUCGGAAUGACUGGGCGUAAAGGGCGCGUAGGCGGUUCGGACAGUCAGGCGUGAAAUUCCCGGGCUCAACCUGGGGACUGCGCUUGAUACAUCUGGACUAGAGUGAGGAAGAGGGUCGUGGAAUUCCCAGUGUAGAGGUGAAAUUCGUAGAUAUUGGGAAGAACACCGGUGGCGAAGGCGGCGACCUGGUCCUUUACUGACGCUGAGGCGCGAAAGCGUGGGGAGCAAACAGG
rnacentral:rRNA from 1 species